CAAUGGUACUUCCGUUUAAAAAAAACACAAAAAGUGCUAAUAGAUUUUUUUCAAAAAGAGGGGUGUGUAUUAUUCCUCUUUACCCAAGGUGAUAUGAAGAGAGCCCCUGUCCAAGGAGCUGCUCUCAUGGGAGGAACAGUGUGAGGAACACUGACACCCCAGGGUGGUCGGAGAGCUCAGUGAAUGAGACUUUUUUGAUCAGUUUGUUGUAGCGGUCCUGAAUGUGAGAAGGAGAAAUGUAGCCCAGGAUGGUGUUUUCUUGACUCAAAAACAAUUUUCAAUUACUUUGCUUAGAUUUGUUUCUUUAAUAGACACAUGCAAACAUAAAAUUCUAUGUAUUGAUGCUGUGUUUCAAUACCUGUGUGUAUCGUAUGAUGUUAAAUCAGGUUAAGUGUAUUAAUUUUCUCAGUUAUUAUUUCUAGAUGGUGAGAUUUUUCGAAAUCUACGUUUUUGCAUUUCUAGCUCAUUAUUGUCAUCCAGUCAUGCUACCCUGCAAUUGCUCACCAGAAUUUCUACCUAACUGACCUUAGUUCAUAGACCACCUUACCAAAAAUGGAUUUAGAAAUAUAUGAGAACCAAUUAGCAGAGUGCUAUCAUUCUGGGAGCAGGGUUUAUACCGGGCUGCUAAGGGGCUUCCUCGUUGUCAAACAGUCGAAUGAAGACAUUCUGAGCCUCCUAAACUUAUUAGUGAAAGCUGCAAGCUCGACACAUUUGGAACAACUGUAGGGUCUGCAGGAAAAAUCUGACCCGCGGCUAGCUCCAAAGGAGAAAGUCUACUUUAUCUGCCUGGAAGGCUCAUCCCUGAUAGAGACCUGCCAAGCCGCAUGCCUGGGAAGAUUUCACAACUGCUGUCUCCAGGAGCCUUCCACGGUGAUAGCUGUGAACACGAAUGAUUCUUGAAGCGAGUUCGUAGUGUGGAUUCGUCCUCCAGUUUGCAGGUUAGGAAACUCAAUCUUACUAAGCACAUUACUCAGGAUCACGCAGUUAGUGGCUCAGUCAACUGUAAAGAGGAAUGGUGCACUUGGAGGCUGGGGACCACGGGUCACAGUGCAUCCACAGUGCACAGCGUACUUUCCUCUCCAGCUAUUGGGAUGGUGUCCUAGCUUGGAUUUAUAGAUCGAUCGAUCUAUACUUGACACAGGUUAGAGAUAUCUGGCAAAAGGCAAUUCAAUUGGAAAAAAAUGCCCCAUCAGUUUGUCUGUAUGCAACUCUGUACCGUGUUUUCUUGAGUGUGUGUGUGUGUGUGUGUGUGUGUGUGUGUGUGUGUGUGUGUGUGUGUGUGUGUGUGUGGUGUGUGUGUAGUGGAGCAGCCUACUGGGGUGGGUACCAACCCUGGGCAACUGGAAGUUGAGGGGAUCUUUGUAUAAACAAAAGUUCAUUCAAGUUCAAGUGUGUGUGGGGGUGGGGUGGGGGCUAAAAACAUUUGCAUAGAUGUUUUGCAAAGCAAGGCAGAUAGCACAAUGUUUACUCUAGGACAAUGGCUUAGUUGUUAAGUUCUUGCCAAACAAGCUUGAGAGUCUUUGAGUUCUGAUUCCCAACACCCACUAAGAAGCCAAAAGUGGGUGACACACACUUGUAAUCUGCUAGAGUGGGGAGUGGAGCCAGGAGGUAACUCUGGAGCUCGCCGGCUAACAGUCACCAGGCAAAGUGAGAAUCCCUUUGCAGGUUCUGAGACUUGUCCACCAAAUAAUUUAGAAAGCUCAAGAAUGAAUUUAUUACAGUUUAAGAAAAAAACAGUACAGGGUAUAGUAUAGGAGAGGUGAAAAUCCAAGCAGUCACCUAGAGCAGGUGAGAAACAUGUCAAGCCUUUUCAGUUUGUUACAAAAUAGAAAUAGAUUAAGAAAGAGAAGUCCAGGGCUGGAGAGAUGGCUUAGUGGUUAAGAGCACUGUCUGCUCUUCUAGAGGUCCUGAGUUCAAUCCCCAGCACCCACACAGGGGCUCAUAACUAUCUAUAGUGUGAUUUGAUGCCCUUUUCUGGUGUGUAGGCGUACAUGCGGGGCACUCAUACGUGAAUAUAUAAAUCUUAAAGAAAGGAAAAGAAGCGCAAGCUAGGCAUAGUGGUGCAUGCCUGGCAGAGGCAGAUGGAUCUGAGUGAGUUCAAGGCCAGCCUGGUCUACAGAGCAAGUUCUAGGACAGCCAGAGCAGAACAAAGAAACCUUGUCUUAGGAAAAAAAAAGGAGAAGAAGCAUUCUGAAAGUGGAAGUGGGCUACUGAGCCAUGGUCAGAGCCCAUAAAGCACCUGGCCAUGCUGUGUGUAUGGCCCUUUAAGUCCCUCUCAUGAUCUCACACUUGCUCUGUGUUAGAUAAUAUCAAAUCAAGGGUUCCAGGCUUCCUGUGUGACCUGGUUCUUUCCUGUGUUAAUCUUCAUUCUGCUUCUUAAGUUCCUGCUCUUCUAUCACACCCUCAUCAAAUUAGUGAUGACCAGGUUCAGUGAGGGACCAUACCACAGAGACACAGAAACACACACACACACACACACACACACACACACACACACACACACACACACUACACCAUUCUAGUAUAGUUCACAGUUUAAAGAUUUUUAAAGAUUUUCCCUUCUGAGAUAUAAAACUGCAAUUUUCUAGGAUGUCAUCAAAAAUUCCAUUUCCGGGGCUGGGGAUUUAGCUCAGUGGUAGAGCGCUUACCUAGGAAGCGCAAGGCCCUGGGUUCGGUCCCCAGCUCCGAAAAAAAGAACCAAAAAAAAAAAUUCCAUUUCCAGGGAAAAGACAUGUACUAACCCCCCAUGCGUCACCCUACUGGUUUCUGAUUUCAUUUUGUCAGGUUAUAAUCCUAUCCAAG
ensembl:lncRNA